rnacentral:rRNA from 1 species
UACGUAGGGUGCAAGCGUUGUCCGGAAUUAUUGGGCGUAAAGAGCUCGUAGGCGGUCUGUCGCGUCGGCUGUGAAAUCCCGAGGCUCAACCUCGGGUCUGCAGUCGAUACGGGCAAACUAGAGUAUUGCAGGGGAGACUGGAAUUCCUGGUGUAGCGGUGAAAUGCGCAGAUAUCAGGAGGAACACCGAUGGCGAAGGCAGUUCUCUGGGCCGUAACUGACGCUGAGGAGCGAAAGCGUGGGGAGCGAACGGG